rnacentral:rRNA from 1 species
UACGUAGGGGGCAAGCGUUGUCCGGAUUUAUUGGGCGUAAAGAGCGUGUAGGCGGUUUUACAGGUCCGCUGUGAAAACUCGAGGCUCAACCUCGAGCUGUCGGUGGAAACCGUAAGGCUAGAGUCCGGAAGAGGAGAGUGGAAUUCCCGGUGUAGCGGUGAAAUGCGCAGAUAUCAGGAAGAACACCCCGUGGCUAAGGCGGCUCUCU